AUUGAACGCUGGCGGCAUGCUUUACACAUGCAAGUCGAACGGCAGCACGGGUGCUUGCACCUGGUGGCGAGUGGCGAACGGGUGAGUAAUGCAUCGGAACGUGCCCAUGAGUGGGGGAUAGCCCGGCGAAAGCCGGAUUAAUACCGCAUACGCCCUUAGGGGGAAAGCGGGGGAUCUUCGGACCUCGCGCUAUUGGAGCGGCCGAUGUCGGAUUAGCUAGUAGGUGGGGUAAAGGCUCACCUAGGCGACGAUCCGUAGCUGGUCUGAGAGGAUGAUCAGCCACACUGGGACUGAGACACGGCCCAGACUCCUACGGGAGGCAGCAGUGGGGAAUUUUGGACAAUGGGCGAAAGCCUGAUCCAGCCAUGCCGCGUGAGUGAAGAAGGCCUCGGUUGUAAGCGUACUUCUAGGUGAGAAGAAA
rnacentral:rRNA from 1 species